GAUGAAGAACGUAGCGAAAUGCGAUAAGUAGUGUGAAUUGCAGAAUUCAGUGAAUCAUCGAAUCUUUGAACGCACAUUGCGCCUUCUAGUAUUCUGGGAGGCAUGCCUGUUUGAGCGUCAUUAAACCUCUCUCAAGUAUGAUUACUUGGAUGUGAAGGAAGAGUACCUUAAACUUAAGGAGUGUUCUCCUUUGAAGUUGAUUAGCAGAUGGUAAUGUUAUUAAAUCCCUGAUGUUGUAAGAAAUAACAGUGGUUUUGUAGACUAUUAUCUAGCUUUAAAUUAUAAUUUUUAUUAUGGUUGACCUCAAAUCAGGUAAGGAUACCCGCUGAACUUAAGCAUAUCAAUAAGCGGAGGA
rnacentral:misc_RNA from 1 species